rnacentral:lncRNA from 1 species
UUCCCUUCCCUCGGCUUCCCGCUCUUGCCUCACUCUCAGCGGCUGCCUUCGCCCCUGUCUGCAGACAGCGCCGCUGGAUGCUCCCAGCUGGACUUCAACCCCACUCCUCUCAGUCCCUCUCCCCACUGCCUUCCAGACGCGCCUCUUCCCCGCCCCGCGCCCCUCUCUCCUCUCCCACCCCUGCCCCUCUCCGCGGCGCUCACCCUCCUCAGUCCCAGUUUCUGAAAGGACUCAGCUGAGAAAGGACAACUGGGUUCCGCUUUCCUUAACCCUACACCCUUUAGCUGGAUGCUGUCAGAGGCGAUGGAGAAACGCAAAGGCUACUAGACGCAACAAUAGAAUUACCAUAUUGUUUUUCCUGGUUUGAAAGGACCAGAUGGAAAGAAACUGGGCAAGCCAAUGAAAGUCUCUGGGGAUCAUGGGAAUUGAGUGUCUAUGAAAACCAUAUUCCAGACAAGAAUAUAGUCUAAGGACACAGCAAGAGGCAACAUUUUGGAAGCAGAGGGCAACUCUCACUGGAAACCAAAUCUCCUGGCACCUUGAUCUUGGAUUUUACAGCCUCCAGAACUUUCUCACACUUCCUUUUGAAAGCUAUUAAAAAUCUAUGGCAGAAAAAUGGUCAAGGAAUAGGAACUACAACUUCAUAAAUGAGGAACCAGAAAAGGAUAGCUGGGAGGCAUUACAUAGUCAUGUGCGAGGUCAAAACUGAGUCACCACCACAACCAAGUUCCAGCUGGCAAGAAGAGGAAAAAUAACACAGAGGAGUUAUGACCAGUGUUGUAAGGAUCUGGCCUAGAAAUGGCAUGCAUCUCUUCCACUAAUAUCCUAUUGGUAAAAAUGUAGUCACAUGGGCACACCACCUAUCUGCAUGGAAGGCUGGGAAAUGUUGAUCGGUAGGGCAGCCAUAUGUGUAGGAAGGAGAAAACAGAAUUUGGUGGAUACCUAGUAGUCUCUGCCAUACCCUUGACCAGAAAUUUUUCUUCUAAAGAAUUUAAUUCUAAAAGUUAUAGACAUUCCCAAAGAUAUACCUGCAAGCAUCACAGCUUUGUGUAUAAUUGCAAAAGUUGAAAUCAACAUGAAUGCCCAAAAUAGUGAAUUAUUUAAACAGAUUAUUACCCAUAUUAUGAAGAAAUACUCUGCAACUCUUAAAAAUAAAUGUAAUGUGCCAGGCGCAAUGGGAUAUGCCUGCAGGCCCAGCUACACGGGAGGCCAAGGCAGGAGGAUCACUUGAAAUCAAGAGUUCAAGUCUAGCCUAGACAACAUAGUGAGACUUGGUCUCUAAAAAAGAAAAAAAAAAAUAAAACUGAUGUAAUGAAUAUAUAAUUACAACAAAAGAGGUCUAACACUAUAGUAGAAAAGUUUGGGGCACUCAUCCCAUUCAUAAUUAUUUUACAUUUAAAUUACUGUUCCUACUUAAGUGGUGAGCUUGGUAACCAUUUUCAUAUCAGGUGAUACUGCUGCAGUAAUCAUAGCUGUUUGAAUCAGGAAUAAUCCCAAUCACAUUUUCUCUUAAUCGUUUAUUAUACUGGGCAUUGGGGUUGCAAGAUAAUGCACAGUCCGAGCUCAAUACAUGUCUUCAUGUACCUGUAUGUAAAUCCCACUUUUAUUCUAAAAUUCUUUGAAUAUUUUGUUUCUUGGAACCCAAUGAUCCUAAGAAAAUUAUGUACUUUUACCUGAAAAUUAAAACCAAUAUUUAUAAAAAGUGUAUAUGCAGUAUGAUACCACUUUUAAAAAAAGAUAAAUUUAUAGAAAAAAGUUUAUAUGACUGACAACAAUGUCUCUGAGUGGUAGGAUUACAGUUAAUUUUUAUUUUCUUCAUUCUACUUAUCUUUAUUUUCUGAACUUUCUACAAUGAACAUGUUUUAUUUUUACUUUUGUUAAAAUAAAUAACAUUUAAUUUGACGGAAAAUUCUAAAAAUCAACAUUUGGUAACUUAAAUAUUCAUUGGCACAUGAUUCUGUGCCUGUUUCUGGGGGUCAUUCCCAUGAGAAGAGCAGGUAGAACUUAUGAGAAUAGAGCAGUCGAAAUAUUAUAGGUUUCAUAUUUUACGGCUUUAUUGAAAACAUUGAUAUAUUGAAUAUUCAUAAAUUUUAAUUUAACUUUCUUUUAUAAUCCUUAAUGUGAGGCUAAGGUAUAAGGAGAAAGGAGAUUGGUAAGGAAGUGUGAUACAUAUUGAAUCAGGUGUCAAGGUACCAUUUGUGCCUGGAUCUGACCAAUAGACCAAGGUAAAAAUCUCAAAGAAUGAGACUUGUAAUGAGAAUGCCACAAACUUGAAUACCUUAUGCACAAAACACAAACAUUGUUAUGCAUAAUGUACAUGAACCCUGAAACAAAGAUAAUGAUUUGGACCACCCAACUGAAGUGGCAUGUUAUGUUUUUGGCAUGAACAAAAGAAACAAGAGAGAAAAAAAUCAAAAUAAUUAAAAUAAAUUGUUAGAGAAAAGUUACUUUAAAAAUAGCUAUAACGCUUUGCAAUUUCAGUAACAGUUCUGCCUCUGAUGCAAUGUAAAACAUGUAUUAGACAUUCAGGCUCCACAAUAAAUUUUAAUGAGCACUACAAAUUUAGAAUAUAUAAAAAUAUCAGUAACCUAUGAAUUCAUCAACAUAACUCACUUUUCAGUUAAGUUAGGCUGAGUUGAAAUUCUACUAAGUUUUCCCAUAUUCUUGAUAAAGGCUAAAUUUGAAAUAAUUUAUUUAGAUGACUAAUUGGCAAUUUGAUAGUAGUUACAUUUUAUGUAACACUUGAUAUAAUAACCCAAAUUAAUUAGCUCAAUAUUAUCUUCUGUGGUUUAUUGAUCCAAAAGUACAUAUUUGUUAUGUAAACUUAUACUAUGUAAACUUGAAUUAGUUUUUUGCUUCCUUGAAUUAAUAAAGCCCAUUAAUGCAAAUCUAAGCCUUCAUAGACUUUUCCAAUCCUUAGUUAAAUAUUAAAAACUGAGUAUUGUAGUUAUUUGCUAGGUAUAAAAGGUGACUCAGAGUAGAGAGUAAGAUGUCAGCAAAUAGACAAUAAGAUGUCAGCAAAAGUGCCUCAAAUUUUAACUGCGUCAAGUUAAGGGCAUUGUAAAUACUGUAGUUUUAUGUAGCUUGCAACUUCUACUGAAAUGAGUUUAAUCAUGUCUUUCACAUAGCUGAAGUUUGUGUCAAGAUUUAAGCUGAUUUUCUCAUUCUUAUCAAAGUCUCACCUGGGGGUAGGGAGGGGUAGGCCUACCUCCCACCUCUAUACUAUCAUUUUAGGAACAGACAGGCAUAAAUCUGUUCAUAUGGUAGAACACAUGAUGUUAGAGUAUAUUUUGUUGAAUGCUAUGGAAUAUUAAUAUAAUUAAUUCUAAAAUAUCACCUAAAAUAUGUCAACUGAAGAUCUGAC